GGGUUGUGGUGUGCGGUAGCAGUAAUGCCCGCAAGGACGCGCUUGUGAGUCCUGGACAACACCACAGCCCUU
rnacentral:ncRNA from 1 species